rnacentral:rRNA from 1 species
GAUGAACGCUGGCGGCGUACCUAAUACAUGCAAGUCGAGCGAACAGACGAGGAGCUUGCUCCUCUGACGUUAGCGGCGGACGGGUGAGUAACACGUGGAUAACCUACCUAUAAGACUGGGAUAACUUCGGGAAACCGGAGCUAAUACCGGAUAAUAUAUUGAACCGCAUGGUUCAAUAGUGAAAGACGGUUUUGCUGUCACUUAUAGAUGGAUCCGCGUCGCAUUAGCUAGUUGGUAAGGUAACGGCUUACCAAGGCAACGAUGCGUAGCCGACCUGAGAGGGUGAUCGGCCACACUGGAACUGAGACACGGUCCAGACUCCUACGGGAGGCAGCAGUAGGGAAUCUUCCGCAAUGGGCGAAAGCCUGACGGAGCAACGCCGCGUGAGUGAUGAAGGUCUUCGGAUCGUAAAACUCUGUUAUUAGGGAAGAACAAAUGUGUAAGUAACUAUGCACGUCUUGACGGUACCUAAUCAGAAAGCCACGGCUAACUACGUG